AUGGCUCCAUGGCUGGGACCAUGCAGAGCCUGGAUUUUGCCUCUCCAGCCACGGGGAAGGGGCUGUUCCCCAAAUCCCCCCUCAUUUCGGUGUCGGCCUCUCCUGCAGCACCCCGAGCGCUCAGUGGGGCCGUGCCCGCGCCCACUCCGCUGCUGUUUCACUGCUGCUUUCGCUUCCUCCCCUGCUGAUGCCUCUGCUCGUGUCUUUUGUUUCCUCGUUCUAUCGUUUUGCUGUUCUGUGGCUGUUUUUGGACAUUUUGCAGCACGGGUGAUGCGCCGCCUGCCUGGUCGGAUUGCUGCUACAGCCCCCCCCGCCCCGAGGACAAGCGGGGUCCCCCGGCCCCCGGUGCCCAGCCCCGUCCCCUGCCCUGGGCACAGCCCAUCCUGGGGCUCAGCCCCGCACCCCUGCGCCUCUGGCCAGGCUGCAGCCGCAGCCUUCCUCCCCCCCGCUGCUCCUCUUCCUCCCCUCGCCCUCUGCUCGCCCCCCACGCUCGCCCCAAGCCCUGCUCCCUGCCGGUGCCCCCGCAGCGCUCCCUGGCCCCGUGGCACUGCCCGCUCCCCAUCGCUGCCCCCCUGCUCCUGCCCCCCCCCCGGCCCCGAACGCUGCCCUCUGCCCCCGGGGGCGGCCGCACGCCGGUGGGAGCCAGCCUGGCCAGGUAACUGCCCCCCACACCCCUGGGUGCCCCCCCACGGGUGGUGGCCUCGGUGUCACCACCGUCCCCGGGAACGGCUGCGAGCCGUGUGGGGGCUUGCCUGCAGCAUGGCUUCUGCGCCGAGAAAUCGCUUUAAAAAGCUGCAAUUAAAGCAAAGUCAGAUUUUAACACCCCCCAGCCCGGCGCUGGGCACCUUUGGGCACCGCCUCGCACCGGGAUGUGCUGGGUGCCAGGGUGCUGGGUGCCGGGGCGCUGGGUGCCGGGGCGGACAGGACCUCACUGCUGUUUUUUUUUUCCCCCUUCCCCCCCAGCACUUUAAAGCCCAAGGAGCUCUCCCCCGUCUCUGGGCCGCAGAAGGGCAGCGGGCAGCAGGCAGCGGCCGCGCCACCGUCCCCCGCCGAGCAGAGCCCCCGCAGCCUGCGCAAAGCCUCCAAGAAGCUGGCGCCCAUCCCGCCCAAGGCGCCCUCGGGGGGCACGUCGGAGCCGCCGGCGGGCCAGCCGUCCCCCGCCAGCCUGUCCCCCACCCCACCGAGCACCCCCGCGCCCUAUGGACUCGCUUACCCUCAAGGCUACUGCCUGGCCUCAGCCGAGGCAGAGGCCCUCGCUGCCGCCGCCGCAGCCCCCCACGGCCAGCGCGUCCGGCUCUAGCCCCCAGCCCGCGGAGCCCCCCCUGCUCGACGCCGUGGCCCCCGGGGAGAGCGUGCCCACAGGUAACCCAGCCGCUGCGGGACGCUGAGGACGCGCCGGGGCUGCGCCGGGGUGCUCGGAGCCGUCCAGGGCACGGACCCCACCUGGGGACCCUGCUGGGACCCCGUGGGCAGCCGGGGCUGUGGUCUGGUGGCACGGCUGCGUCUGUGGAGCAGAGGGACCAGGACGGCUGCUCGUGGCCUGGGGUUUGGUGGCGGUGUCCUUGGGAAGGUGGCAGUGUCCCCAGGAAGGUGGCAGUGUCCUCAAGAAGGCGGUAACAUCUUUGUGAAGGUGGUAAUGUUCCCAGGAAGAUGACUGUCAUCAGGCAGGUGGAAAGGUCCCUGGGGAGGUGACAAGGUCCUCAGGAAGGUGCCAGUGUCUCUCGGAUGGUAGCAGUGUCCUCAGGAAGGUGGCAGGGUCCCUGGGAAGGUGGCAGCGUUCCCAGGAAGAUGACAAUAUCCUCACAAAGGUGGCGGUGUCCCUGGGAAGGUGGCAUUGCCCUCAGGAAGGUUGUGACAUCACUGGGAAGGUGGCAGUGUUCCCAGAAAGAUCAGUGUCCUCAUGAAAGUGGCAGUGUCCCCAGGAAGGUGGCAAUGCCCCGUGGAAGGUGGCAGUGUCCCCAAGAAGAUGGCUGUGUCCCCAGGAGGGUGGCAGUGUCCCUGGGCAGUGCCCCAAAGCUCUGCUGUUGUGUCCUCUGUGUCCUGACCUUGUCGCUGUUUCUUUGUCCCCGUCCCCCACCACUGCUGUCCCCAAGGGCCACCCCCUCCCCACUGCCACCCGUGGGUGCAUGGGGCAGGUGAGAGCGCGCCCCCAGCCCCAUCCUGCCAGCAAGGACACUUUUGUCACCUGGCUCUGGCUUCCUCGUGCUGCUGGCUCCCUCCUGCCCGGCGGCCCUGGAGAAGCGAAGUGGCAGCGGGCACCCAAUGGUGUCCCCAGCUCGGCUCCCGAGGGGUGGCAGGACAUGGUGGCAGGAUGGCAUUUCCCCAUCCUGGGAAUCACAGGGAACACUUUGGAAGUGGGGACAGCCUGGGGACGUGGUGCUGGCACAGCUCGGUGCCCCAGGGGCACUGCAUGUCCUGCGGGGCGCAGCAUGGCUGGCGGCCGGGUCCCCACACGCAGCACCUUGAUGUGCCCGGUGGCACGGAGGGGAUGGGACGGGGGGGGACCAUGCAGCAGUGGGGUCGGGCUGUCCCCAGGCGAGCUGCGUCCCCCUGCUGCGCCCCAGUGCUGUGCCUGGGGCUCGGUGCAGCCCCCACAACGCACCCCAGCGUGGUACCCCAGGCGUUGCAGUGGGUCUGCAGCCAGGUGUGGUGCCCCCCAACACAGCACCCAUACCUGGUGCCCCCCAGCACCAGA
rnacentral:lncRNA from 1 species